rnacentral:RNase_P_RNA from 1 species
GGGGAAUAAGAAAGGUAGUCGCUCUUCAUCCUUCAGAGGAUGAAGGGAGGAAAGUCCGAACUCCGUAGAGUAGGAUACCAGGUAACGCCUGGGGGCUAAGAGCCAAAGCUCUUGGUCACGGAAAGUCCCGCUCUUGCGGGAUCCCGAUCAAAUCGGGAUGCAACAGAAAACACACCGCCCCGAGAUUGUUUCGGGGUAAGGGUGAAAUGGCGGGGUAAGAGCCCACCAGCAUCAGGGUAACCUGAUGGCUUGGCAAACCCUAUCCGGAGCAAGGUCAAAUAGGGGAGGAAGUGAGUUCUGGUUUUCUGCUCUAACUCACUACGAAGUUACUCGCUUCGUUAUCACUCCCGGGUAGACCGCUGGAUUCCGAUGGCGACAUCGGAACAAGAUAGAUGACUACCUCUCCUGCGGGAGAACAGAAUUCGGCUUACUUAUUUCCCAUCU